GCUUUCUUGGUCGAGAGUAAGGUGAGAAAAUCAACACCCCUCUCGUAUCGGACUGCUGCUGGAGCCACGCUGGCCUGCCCGGAUUCCUCCGGCGAGAUAAGCGAUAAGUGUACGUUGUUGAGCUAUUCCUUUCAUUGUUACUGACACCGCGGACCACAUGGACUUGGCAGCACCGCCGACAACUCAAAGAAAAGGCGCAAGGGCACAACCUUUGUGGUUGUACACCGUGGCAAGAAAAGAGAAGAGACUCGCACCAAAGGAAGAACUCAGAGAGGAACAGUGGAGUUGUCCAACCCUGGGAACUUCCAGGGGGAGG
ensembl:lncRNA